UACGUAGGGGGCUAGCGUUGUCCGGAAUCAUUGGGCGUAAAGCGCGCGUAGGCGGUCAGGUAAGUCCGGUGUGAAAGUCAAAGGCUCAACCUUUGAAUGCCGCUGGAUACUGCCUGACUUGAGUCCGGAAGGGGCGAGUGGAAUUCCUGGUGUAGCGGUGAAAUGCGCAGAUAUCAGGAGGAACACCAAUGGCGAAAGCAGCUCUCUGGGACGGUACUGACGCUGAGACGCGAAAGCGUGGGGAGCGAACAGG
rnacentral:rRNA from 1 species